AGAGUGCCUGAUUAACAAAAUUAACAAGUCCAUAGUGGUUCCAUUGCCAACAAAAUAUUCUGGUGCAUUCAGAAGCUAUUGUUGCUGAAUGAAAGGGAGAGCUGAGAAAGUGCAAUUCAAUACAACCUUGGAAACAAUGAAUUCCUAGGCAGAGCAUGGAGAAAAACAGA